rnacentral:lncRNA from 1 species
UAAUCUAUAAUAUAACAACUCCUAACCUAUCAGAUUGUCAGGUUACAUUUGUUUUUGUUUUUGUUUUUGGUCACUGAGCCGAGGGUCGAUUGGAAACAGCCUCUCUGCCUUUUCGGGUAGGGGUAAGGCCCGUACAAAUUAUCCUGGUAACAACAACAACAACAUAUCAUGCAGAUCAUACUGGUAGAUGCUGAUAAAAAGACUUCAAUGUCUUUCUGUGUUUGUUUUUGUUUUUGUUUUUUUUGUUUUUCUUUCCUUCACUGAGCCGAGUGUCGAUUGGAAACAGCCCUCUGCCCUUUCGGGUAGGGGUAAGGCCCGUCUACAUAUUACCCUCCCCAGAUCCCACUUUGUGGGACUAUACGGGGUAGUUGUUGUUGUUGUUGUUGUUGUUUCAGUGUGAAACAAGUAAAACA